ACUAGGCUGGGUAGCCAUUCCCUUCUCCAGGGGAUCUUUCCAACCCAGGGAUUAAACCUGGGUCUCCUGCAUUGCAGGGAGAUUCUUUACCACCUGAGCCACCAGGGAAGCCCACCAUAGAUAUCUAACCUGCAUCUGGUAAGGAUCAUGGCUUAGGUCUAUAUCGCUUCUUGCUAGUAAGUUCUAGUCUCGUAAAAAACCCAAUUCAUCCAUACUUGUCUCUGUUCUGUAUACUUCACUUUCAAGCGAAUGUCAUAGAUAUGUAUGCAUAUCACUAUCAAUAUACUGUUUAGUGGGCUUUCCCUGUGUUUCAGCAGUAAAGAAUCCACCUGCCAAUGCAAAAGACAUAAGAGAUACAGGUUCAAUCCCUGGGUUGAGAAGAUCCCCUGGAGGAGGGCAUGGCAAUCCACUCCAGUAUUCUUGCCUGGAGAAUUUCAUGGACAAAGGAGCCUGGCAGGCUGCAAUUCAUAAAGUCUCAAAGAGCCAGACACAACUGAAGCAACUUAGCCCAACUGCUUAGCAAAGUUACCCAAGCAGUCACCCAGGGCGUAGGUCAGAAUACUAAAAAUAUCAAGGGGCACAUAAAGUUACAGAGCGAUAGAUUAAGUGCUUUAAAGACAAACAAAGCCAGAUCUGAAACUGUUCUAGCUUUUGCUUAUUACAUAUCUUUCAGGAAAUUAAUUUCUUUGAGCCUUGGUAUUCUCUCUGGAAAAGGAAGAUUAAAAUAAAGAUCUCCUUGGCUGGAUUAAAAAAAAACACUUUAUUGGAAUAUAGUUGAUUUACAAUAUUGUGUUAGUUUCUGCUAUACAGAAAAGUGGAUCAGUUGUAUAUAUAUAUCCACUCUUUUUUAGAUUAUUUUCCCUUGUAGGCCUUUACAGAGUACUGAGUAGAGUUCUCUGUGCCAUACAGUAGGUCCUUACUAGUUGUCUCUUUGGUGAAUGGAUAAAAGACAAUUAAUUCAGUGCCUGGAUAGUUGCUCAAUGAAUUGAUCUGCUAUUAUUAGAAAGUAAUGGUAUUCCCUCAAACCUUUGUGUGGGUGCUUAGUCAUGUCUGAUUCUGUGAUCCCAUGGGCUGUAACCCACCAGGUUCCUCUGUCCACAGGGAUUCUCCAUGCAAGAAUACUGGAGUGGGUUGCCAUGCCCUCUUGCAGGGGAUCUUCCCAACCCAGGGAUCAAACCCAGGUCUUCUGCAAUGCAGGUAGAUUCUUUAUCAUAUGAGUCACCAGCUCAGAACUUGUUUUCUUAAUUGCGUUGACUGGAAAUGGGAAGUGCUUAGCAAUCAAUCAGUAAUAUUUCAGGCCAGAUGGCAAAGCAGAGACAGGAAAUAAAAACACUCAACAGAGUAACUGCCAAACCCCCAGGCUACAAUUUUGUUAUCUAGAGCAUAAUCAAUCCACCAAAUCAAUGCAAAGUGUUUCAGAAACAGCCUUAUCUCUCAUUGCCUUUAUGGUAGAACAGAAACAUUACACUAAAAAUAGAAAGCAUGCCACUUCAUGUCUGCAUAAAGUGAUAAAGAAACUGUGUCAGACAAAUAGCAUAUUUGUAAGCUUUAUCCUCAUCAAGCACAAUUUUUUUCAGUGUUUUAACAAAUUUUUCAUUUGUUAACUUUGUACAAUUUGUUUCAAUUGUAGUCUUUUGUUUUGUUUUUUAGGGUUCUAUUGUUUUUUUCUGUUUUACAGUCAGAGAAAUAAUAAAUUGAGCUAUUCAUUCUUCUGAGUGUCCCAGAAACUGAAAGGUAUUGGUAUCUUCUCAAGAAAUCCUGUUCUCCUAGCUUCCCAUGUUUGAUUCUUGAUGAAAGAACUGAUAAGAGUUGUAUUUCAAACUCUGUCUCCUGAAAAAGUCAGAGCCCACACUGCAGUUAAUGGGUCACUGUUCUGUCCACCCAGAGAAUAGAAGCCACACAGAGAAAGAUGUUUGCUCAAGCAAGAGACUGAGUCCAUCAAGAAAAUAAGAAGGAAAGAUAGUAGAUAGAGAGACUUCAAGACAAUACAGUGACCUGUAUAGGUCCUUCUGGAAAAGAUAUAAAAGUACAAAGAAAAGGCUGAAGGCUUGCACAAAAUAAAAAUGGAAAUGAAGAGGUGAAAAGACAAGUGAGCUGUGUUUUUCCCAGUCUCAGACUGUCUUGUAUAAUUCAGAGGAAACUCUUCACCCAGCCCUCAUACCCAUCUGGACCUCACAUUCAUGCUACUGUGCUUGGGUCAUUAGUCUUCUGGCCACUGAUUUUUCUCUCAGAAAUCACAUGCUGCCCUCUGUCUCCUAACGUGAGAAAUAUCUCCAGUGCUCUAUCCGUCAAUUUUCCACCCGCUGCACAAAACUAACAAAAACUACUAGAGGAGCAAGCAUAAAUGGCCCUUAUAAACCAUAGGAGGUUUAUUUUAAAAUACUGUUAGCAUCAAUUAAGUUGUGAGGACACCAAGCCAUGGUACACUAGGGAAUCAGAGAACAUGGGAGGCAGCAGCAUGCAUUGUGAACCACACUUCAACCCUGGGCAAGGAGGAAUUAAAGGCGCUACUGACUAAAGACACUAAAAAGGGAUGAAAAUGACCACUGCCCGCCACUGACAGAAACACAGGUUUUAGGUUUCACUGGGAUUAGCUGACUUCAGUUAAUAUACAAAGUGGUUCUCUAGAUCCCAUUGCCUUUCUUAUCUGUUAUUUGCAAGAGAAUUAACAAUAAAGAAAAUGAUUUCAGUGA